AGAAUUGGGUAAAAUAGCCCAUUUCCAGCCAUCAUUUUUCUUAUAUAUCGUGUAUAGGAUCUGAAAAAUGGUAAAACACCAAAAUUGAACAAAAUGCAAUGAAAUUCUUGGAUAUCCUUAUUGGCUAUAUUUCAAGAUACAACCCCAAAUACAGCCACCCAGACAAAAUUUUAGAAGUAACUUAAAAGCCGAAAUGCAUGAUAUAGGAAAUGUUUAAGGAUACCCAGAUCCCUUCUUGAAAAGGAUACCCCAAAAUGACUUGAAAGCUCAUAAAAUUCAAAUACAAGAGCCCUCAAUGAAGCUCAGACCACAUCAAACUAAAAAGAGAAAGAGGGGUUUGCAUGUUGCCGUCCUGUGCUUAAGAUUUUGGGAUUUAUAGAGGAGAAGUGAAAGACGCAGGCCCCUACUCCCUAGGCAGGAAGAUUCAAAUGCAUAUGAAGACCAAGAAAUAAAGAAAGGACACCUAACAGGUCACCACCAAGAAGACUGAAGAACAGAAGAAUGACGGUAGUGGGGGUGGUUGUAAGGUGGAAUGUUGGCAUCAGCCUGAUAGGUAAACAGAUCUAAAGCAUCUGAUUUCCCUCAGUUUCCUUCAAUUUUAAUAUUAUUCUACAGGACAAGUUUCCAAUCGCAUUCAACGCCCAUGGCCCCAUGUCUGAUUGCGCUAUCU
rnacentral:misc_RNA from 1 species